CCUACUUCUCGGCCUUUUGGCUAAGAUCAAGUGUAGUAUCUGUUCUUAUCAGUCUAGCGCUCUUUAUAUUUCUAUUUGAUAGAGCUUGAAUUAGAUUGUGGAAGGUAUAGAAAGCCAA
ensembl:snRNA U2 U2 spliceosomal RNA